rnacentral:tRNA from 1 species
GCCGCGAUGGCGGAAUUGGCAUACGCACUAGGUUGAGGGCCUAGCCCAGCAAUGGGGUGAGGGUUCAAGUCCCUCUCGCGGCACCA